GGUCUGAACUGCAUAUAUCUCUGUUGCAAGGGGCAGUGGCCUCAAGUUGCAUCUUGCCUAAUCAUCUGGAAGUAUUUUCUCCUAGGUUAUCCUAUUGCUGUCUAGGAUAAGCCUUUUGGAAGAACACUUAAAGUAGUUUUCAGAUAGCCUUCCCCUCAGCUGUGAAAGCUCGCACACAGUUACAAGUAUAGCCAGAUCAUUUGUCAUCGUCUGAAACCACUUCUAGGACUUUGAAAAAAUCUUCAACUCUUUUCCAAAACUACCUACCUCUUUGAGUCGUACAGCAUGUGCCACAUGUUAGUACAGAGGAGUUCUAGGAAUUCAUUUUUCAAACAAAUCUGGGCCAGAUCUAAGUAGGGGAGAUAAUUUCGCAUUGUAAGUACUUUGACUAGGAGGCAAGAAAAUUCAUUUAUUUUGUUGUUCUCGUGAAGUUCAGUUUAAUCUAAAAAAUUAAAAUUACUUUUUAAAAGGUGGAUCAUUAAGAUUCAGCAACAGUAAAAUAAAUAUUUUCUAUUAAUGCAUCUGGUAUUCUUUGCAGGACCAUAAUAUUCAGGAGAAAUGCAGUCUUUAUGACUCCAUAGAUCUCCGUAGGCUUUUGGGAAUCUUUUCUAUUCAGUUGCAGUUAUGAAGAGAACUGGAGCUAGAAAUGGAGCUGUAAAAUUGUGGUUUACCCCUGUCUUCAUUUUUGUCCUUUGUCUGUGUGGGUUCUCCAGCCUAUUGCAUCAAAGGAAACAUGAUGCAAAGUAUCUUGUAGUUACUGUGUGUCUUGUCCAGAAUGUCCUUUGCUCUGUAAUGUUGUCCUGUAUUCUUGUGUAUUUAACAAGAUUUUUAACAUUUUAUUGCAAAGAAAAAUUGUGUGUUGUGAUUAGCUCAAUGAAAAAGCUUGGGAAAGCUUUUUCCAUCACUUGUCACUUGGGAGAUUACUAGUUGUAGUACUAUCAAGUUCUUUCGUAUUCAUACUCACUAGAAGUAACUGUCAGUAGGAUAAUGGAUUAUUCUACCUGUUUCAUUUUGUCUUGAGGCAAAAUGGACUCACACAAAGCCAGUCCUAGUUUAUAAGCAGCCUUCCCUGUUCCUAUCACCUAAUUAGUUUUUCCUGGAAUUUCUGUAUGUGCUGGAAACAGAAUUUGUGACUCUUUGGGCUGACCUAUCUGUUUGC